rnacentral:rRNA from 1 species
GAUGAACGCUGGCGGCGUGCCUAAUACAUGCAAGUCGAGCGAACGGACGAUAAGCUUGCUUCUCUGAUGUUAGCGGCGGACGGGUGAGUAACACGUGGAUAACCUACCUAUAAGACUGGGAUAACUUCGGGAAACCGUAGCUAAUACCGGAUAAUAUUUUGAACCGCAUGGUUCAAAAGUGAAAGACGGUCUUGCUGUCACUUAUAGAGGGAUCCGCGCUGCAUUAGCUAGUUGGUAAGGUAACGGCUUACCAAGGCAACGAUGCAUAGCCGACCUGAGAGGGUGAUCGGCCACACUGGAACUGAGACACGGUCCAGACUCCUACGGGAGGCAGCAGUAGGGAAUCUUCCGCAAUGGGCGAAAGCCUGACGGAGCAACGCCGCGUGAGUGAUGAAGGUCUUCGGAUCGUAAAACUCUGUUAUUAGGGAAGAACAUAUGUGUAGGUAACUGUGCACAUCUUGACGGUACCUAAUCAGAAAGCCACGGCUAACUACGUG